rnacentral:tRNA from 1 species
GGGAAUUUAGCUCAGUGGUAGAGCAUUUACCUAGCAUGUAUGAAGCCCUGGGAUUGAUCACCAGCAAACCCG